ensembl:lncRNA
AGCAGUGGAAAGGUGGCUCAGAAGCUUCUUCCUCUGGGCCAGGAGCAGCAGGAUGGAUGGCAGCCCGGAAGCCACUAACUCUGAGCCAGGAGCAAUGGGAUCGAUGGUGGCCCAGAAUCCCCUUCCUCCUCCUUGAAGAUCCAUCGUGAUGGACACAAGGGCACAGCUUCCUGCUUCUCUCAUUCUUGGGCCUGGGAUGAUGAUGCAAUAAUCAUCAUCUGAAACAUUUCAAGCUGGAUGUUAGAGCAAAAGAGCAUAUGGCACGGAUGUAUUCAUUCUGAAAGCUUCAUUCUAUUGGAAAAUAUUCCAGUGAGAGCAAGGAAUAGAAGAUUUCAUGAUGUAGCAAAUAAAAUGUUAUGAUUGAAGAACUAAGGAGAAUUGAGG